rnacentral:rRNA from 1 species
UACGAAGGGGGCUAGCGUUGCUCGGAAUUACUGGGCGUAAAGGGCGCGUAGGCGGACAGUUUAGUCAGAGGUGAAAGCCCAGGGCUCAACCUUGGAAUUGCCUUUGAUACUGGCUGUCUUGAGUUCGGGAGAGGUGAGUGGAAUGCCGAGUGUAGAGGUGAGAUUCGUAGAUAUUCGGCGGAACACCAGUGGCGAAGGCGACUCACUGGCCCGAUACUGACGCUGAGGCGCGAAAGCGUGGGGAGCAACCAGG